rnacentral:rRNA from 1 species
CACGUAGGGAGCAAGCGUUGUCCGGAUUCAUUGGGCGUAAAGAGCUCGUAGGCGGCUCGGUAAGUCGGGUGUGAAACCUCUGGGCUCAACCCAGAGACGCCACCCGAUACUGCCAUGGCUAGAGUCCAGCAGGGGAGCGUGGAAUUCCCGGUGUAGCGGUGAAAUGCGCAGAUAUCGGGAGGAACACCAGCGGCGAAGGCGGCGCUCUGGGCUGGAACUGACGCUGAGGAGCGAAAGCGUGGGGAGCAAACAGG